UACAGAGGGGGCAAGCGUUGUUCGGAAUUACUGGGCGUAAAGGGCGCGUAGGCGGCCUUCUAAGUCGAACGUGAAAUCCCCGGGCUCAACCCGGGAACUGCGUCCGAUACUGGAAGGCUUGAAUCCGGGAGAGGGAUGCGGAAUUCCAGGUGUAGCGGUGAAAUGCGUAGAUAUGAUACAGAACACCAAUUGCGAAAGCAGCUUACUAUGCUAUUAUUGACGCUGAGGCACGAAAGCGUGGGGAUCAAACAGG
rnacentral:rRNA from 1 species